UUUAAAUAGCUGCAGUAAUUUAACUGUACAAAGGUAGCAUAAUAAUUAGUCUUUUAAUUGAGGUCUAGAAUGAAUGGUUUAACAAGAGAAAAUCUUUAUUAAUUUAAAAAUAUUUAAAUUUAAUUUUUUAGUUAAAAAGCUAAAAUUUUUAAGUGGGACGAUAAGACCCUAUAGAUCUUAAAUUUUUUUUUAUAAACUUUUUUAGUUGAUUUGAAAUUAAAUUAUUAAAAAAAUUUUUGUUGGGGUGACAUUAAAAUUUUUAAAACUUUUAAUUAUUUAAUCAUUUAUAAAUGAAUAUUUGAUCCUAAAAUAUGGAUUGUAAGAUAAAGAUACCUUAGGGAUAACAGCGUAAUAAAUUUGAAUAGUUCAUAUUGAUAAAUUUGUUUACGACCUCGAUGUUGAAUUAAUUUAAGGUUUUAAAGUAGAAAUUAAAAAUUUUAGGUCUGUUCGACCUUUAACUAGUUACA
rnacentral:rRNA from 1 species